UACGUAGGGUGCAAGCGUUGUCCGGAAUUAUUGGGCGUAAAGAGCUCGUAGGCGGUCUGUCGCGUCUGCUGUGAAAACUCGGGGCUUAACCCCGGGCCUGCAGUGGGUACGGGCAGACUAGAGUGCGGUAGGGGAGACUGGAAUUCCUGGUGUAGCGGUGAAACGCGCAGAUAUCGGGAGGAACACCGGUGGCGAAGGCGGUUCUCUGGGCCUUACCUGACGCUGAGGAGCGAAAGCGUGGGGAGCGAACAGG
rnacentral:rRNA from 1 species